GUUUGGUUUUUUAAACUUUUAACAUUGUUGCUUUGGCAGACCCGUCUUCCGUUGCCGCUGGCUUCGGCUGGUCAGUGUCUGCCAAAGACCUUUAAACUCAUGUUAUAAUUAUUGUCUGAGAACUAUUUAAUAGUUAAAACUUUCAACAACGGAUCUCUUGGUUCUGGCAUCGAUGAAGAACGCAGCGAAAUGCGAUAAGUAAUGUGAAUUGCAGAAUUCAGUGAAUCAUCGAAUCUUUGAACGCACAUUGCGCCCUCUGGUAUUCCGGGGGGCAUGCCUGUUCGAGCGUCAUUACAACCCUCAAGCUCUGCUUGGUAUUGGGCUUCACCAUCUGGUGGGCCUUAAAAUCAGUGGCGGUGCCAACUUGGCUUCAAGUGUAGUAAUUCUUCUCACUUCGGAGUCUUUUGGUCACUUGCCAAUAACCCCUAAUUUUUUAAAGGUUGACCUCGGAUCAGGUAGGGAUACCCGCUGAACUUAAGCAUAUCAAUAAGCGGAGGAA
rnacentral:rRNA from 1 species